rnacentral:rRNA from 1 species
GACAGAGGGUGCAAACGUUGUUCGGAAUUACUGGGCGUAAAGCGUGCGUAGGCGGCAGCGUGUGUCGGGCGUGAAAUCCCACGGCUCAACCGUGGAAGUGCACUCGAAACUGCGCAGCUGGAGUCUCGGAGAGGAAGGCGGAAUGCUUGGUGUAGAGGUGAAAUUCGUAGAUAUCAAGCGGAACACCGGUGGCGAAGGCGGCCUUCUGGACGAUGACUGACGCUGAAGCGCGAAAGCGUGGGGAGCAAACAGG